rnacentral:tRNA from 2 species
UAGAUUGAAGCCCGCUGGCUUAGGCUUUUAGUUGUUAACUAAAUAUUUAUGGGAUCAAGGCCCGUCGAUCUAG